rnacentral:rRNA from 1 species
UACGUAGGUGGCAAGCGUUGUCCGGAUUUAUUGGGUUUAAAGGGUGCGUAGGCGGCCCCUGUAAGUCAGUGCUGAAAUAUCCCGGCUUAACCGGGGAGGGUGGCAUUGAUACUGCAGGGCUUGAGUGAAGUCGAGGUAGGCGGAAUUGACGGUGUAGCGGUGAAAUGCUUAGAUAUCGUCAAGAACACCGAUAGUGAAGACAGCUUACUAGGCUUAUACUGACGCUGAGGCACGAAAGUGUGGGGAUCAAACAGG